rnacentral:rRNA from 1 species
UACGGGGGGAGCAAGCGUUGUUCGGAUUUACUGGGCGUAAAGGGCGCGUAGGCGGCGCAACAAGUCACUUGUGAAAUCUCCGGGCUUAACCCGGAGCGGCCAAGUGAUACUGUCGUGCUAGAGUGCGGAAGGGGCAACUGGAAUUCUCGGUGUAGCGGUGAAAUGCGUAGAUAUCGAGAGGAACACCUGUGGCGAAGGCGGGUUGCUGGGCCGACACUGACGCUGAGGCGCGAAAGCUAGGGGAGCGAACGGG